AGGUCGCUGGUUCGAUUCCGGCUCGAAGG
rnacentral:piRNA from 3 species